UCAAUUAGAUAAGCAUAAUAUUUUUUUUCGUUGCAAUAUGGUCCAGCAUAAUUCAUUGAUUUCUCUGGCCAAAAAGUUAGAAGCAUCAAAUCUUCGACCUUCCUAGUUUCUAAUUUAGAGCAUAUAUCUGCCAUGUACUCUGCUGUUGCAUGCAAGGAUUUUAAAUGUUUAAGAAGUGGGAAAUCAGAAACAUCUAAAUUGGAGCGAAGUGUGACAUGGAAGAGCUCAAGUGUCCUUAGAAAGCCAAGACAAAUGCACUCAGGCAGCUCCAUACCACAGCCUUUCAAUCUAAAUUGGCUUAAAGCACCACC
rnacentral:lncRNA from 1 species